AUACGUAGGUGACAAGCGUUAUCCGGAUUUACUGGGCGCAAAGGGCGUGUAGGCGGUCUUGCAAGUCCGAAGUGAAAUUCCUGAGCUCAACUCGGGCGCUGCUUCUGAAACUGCAGGACUUGAGUGCUGUAGGGGAUAGCGGAAUUCCUAGUGGAGCGGUACAAUGCGCUGAUAUCAGGAGGGACACCGGAGGCGAAGGCGGGUCUCAGGGCAGUAACGGGAGCUGAGGAGCGAUAGCAUGGGUAGCAAACAGGAUUAGAUGCCUUGGUAGUCCAUGCCGUAAAGGGUGGGCGCAAGUUGUAGGGGUCUUCCACCCCUUCUGUGCCGUAGCUAACGCGUUAAGCGCCCCGCCUGGGGAGUACGGCCGCAAGGCUAAAACUCAAAUGAAUUGACGGGG
rnacentral:rRNA from 1 species